UCGGCUAGCGUUAUUUCAUUUUCUGUUCUUGCAAACUUUGAAAACCUGUAAAAUAGUUUAUAUAUAGUUAGUAGUUUCUUAGUUAAACCCUUAAUAGUAGUUUUCAACUCUUCGUUAGUCCUGAAUGGGACUCAGCCGGGGGAUGCCCCAGUCCAGAAGCUUUAAGCCCUGCAAUGGCUGUAAACAGCCUAUGCCCAUCAGCGAUCCACAUACCAGCUGCCUAAGGUGCUUAGGCACAGGGCACAUAAGUGACAAGUGCUGUAUCUGCAAGUCCUUUAAACCUAGGACGAAGGAGCAUGAAACUCGUCUAAGGCGCUCCUAAUGGAGUUGGCACUCACUCCAGCAGUGAGUCAUGGCCUCCGUGCGCAGUGCUCUGCCGGCGCCGUCCACGAGCCAGCACUGGUGUCCCUCCAUGGCUCCAGUCAUGAAGCUGAAGAAGAAAGUGAAGGGAUGAUCUACCUCCUGCAAGGGAAAGGAGAGGGCUGGGGGCGAGCCAUGACCUGUACUGGGCAGCUCAAUGCCCCCUUCAGGAAGUCGGGCCCCAGCUCAAGUUGAGCGGUGCAGCCCAUCCUGUACUUUGCUUGCAACUCCAGAUAGCGUCAUGCCUCGGGACUAGAGCAGCAGGCUCAGUGGAGCCCCCUUCAGUCCCUGCACUGGGGACACCAAUGGAGGGAUUCGAGGCAUUCCUCACUGGCGGAUUGGCACAGACCCUCUAGGGCACAUGCUGCCCGGGAAGAUCUCAGGGAUUGACCCUGACCAUCUCCAAAGGCCUGAUACUGAUCACAGGACUGAUCGGGGAGCAGAGUCCACCAAUCACCCAGCCAUUGUCCGUCUCCUAGGAGAUUGCCCUUUUCACAAAGUUCCUCCCGACAGCUGGCCUGUAGUGGCUCCUGGUCCUGGUCAAGCAGCAUGAGGUGUAGAUUGCCAGGUUUCCAACACGGAUCCUCCAAACGCCAUCAGUUUCUGAAAACCCGACCAAGACACCAGUCUUUCGGACAGGUCUGCUUUGGGUCACAGCGACCGGCACCGCAGUCUUGGACAAGAGCCACCUGUUCCUGGUUGCUUGGUACCAACCACUCCGCUUACAGCUCCAACACAAAGCAAUGUUCCCUGGCUGUGGGACAAGCCCCAGUACCUACAGUGACGCCAGCAUCGACGGCACUGAAACCUGUUCCAUGGCCUCAAGGGCCAUGGCCGGUGCCAUAGUACCUGUGGAACCCUUGGGGGUUCACCCAACCAUCCCAAGCUGCCUGAUCAGUGUCAGGAGCCUCAGAGGCCAGCAGCCUUGGUAUCCCAUCCCCUUCCAGUGCUCGACGCUUCAGGGGGAAGGAAUCCGUAGGUCCAGGAGGACCCAGGGGAGCAAGCUGCUGGACCACCAGUGGACAUGGAGGUUCCCGCAGCACCAGCAUCGUCCUCAUCGUCACCAAACCAGGCUAUCAUGGGGCCCCCUCACCCAGUUCCUCAGGUUGACGCCAAGGUGCACCAGGAACUUUUGAAGAGGGUCACUUCCAACCUGGGGCUUCAGGCAGAGGAACUGGAAUAGCUCUUAGACUCUGUUUGAUGUCCUCUGCUCCUGCCAGGGUGGCCCUAGCCUUUCGUGAAGGGGUUUCCAAAAUCACUAAUGUCCUGUGGCUGACCCCCUCUUCCUUGGCCCAUAUCUCUGACUGCCGAACACAAGUACUUUGUGCAAACCAAGGGGCAUGAGUACUUAUACUCCCACCCAGCCCCUAAUUCCCUUGUGGUAGGAGAAGUUAACCACAAAGACAGGCCAGGGCAACCGGGGCCACCCCCAAAAAUAAAGACUUGAAUAAAUCUUAUGUCCAAAGAGUUCCAGCCUUCUCAUCUUCUAGCCUUCAACGGAGAGAGGCCAACCAUCAAGCCCUCUUUGGCUGGUAUGACUUUAAUAUGUGGCAAGCCGUGGCCAAGUUUGAAGGGUCGCUCCCCGAGGCUUCCAAGAAGGAGUUAUGAGCAACCCUCAUUGAGGGCACGACCGCGAGCAGGGCAGCCCUCCAGGUGGCAUAAGAUGCCACUGAUGCUGCUGCCCACACCAUGGCUUCCGCAUCUCCAUGCAGCAAGCCUCCUGGCUGCUCCUCUCUGGGCUCUCCUCUGAGGCUCAGCAGUCAAUGCAGCACUUGCCCUUUGACAGCUGAGCCCUAUUUGUGGAGCAAACAGACAGCAAAUUGCAUGGCCUAAAGGACUCCCGCACCACCCUGAAAACCCUGGGUCUUUACGUCCGAGCCCCAGCAUGUAAGCAGUUCAGACCGCAGCAGCCGUAGGGCCAGGGGAGCCAGCCUCAGCAGCCCCACAAAUGAGCCAAUGGCUACAGGCAACGUCCGAGCCACCCACUUCCAUCUUCUGCCCAGUCAGGCCCGACCCAUGCCAAGCAAGGGACCAAAUGGUCAUUUGAGGGUGGCCUACCAGACUAUUCCCUGAAUCUAUCUGUCCCAGUGUUCUCCAACUGCGUUUCCCUUUUUCUCCCUCCUUGGACUGCUAUAACCUUGGACCGAUUGUUCCUCAGUACAGUGGAACAGGGUUAUAUUCUCCAGUUCCUUUCUACCCCCCCUCCCACCCACCUUCCCCAUCCUUCUUCAGAGACCCCUCUGAUGAGUCGCCUUGCACAGGAGGUAAAGGGGUUGCUACAGCUGGGUGCGGUGGGAGAAGUUCCUCUCGAGUACAGGAACAAGGGGUUCUAUUCCCAGUACUUUUUAAUCCCAGAGGCCAAGAGUGGUCUAUGGCCCAUCCUGGACCUGCGAGACCUCAACAAAUACCUAAAGAAGUUCCGCAUGGUUUCCCUGGCUUCUGUUAUCCCCUCCCUGGUUCUGGGAGACUGGUAUGCUGCCCUCAACUUGAAAGACGCAUACUUCCACAUAGGUGAUCUUUCAAGAACACAGAUGCUUCUUCCAGUUUACGGUGGGGCCCCACCACUACCAGUUUGCGGUCCUCCCAUUAGGCCUGGUGACAGCACCGAGAGUGUUUCACCAAGUGCAUGUCGGUGGUAGCGGCUUACCUCAGGCUCUGGGGUAUCCCGAUCUAUCCGUACCUUGAUGAUUGAGGGUAGUUCCAGGUCUUAAGUCCAAAGGGAUGAUGUGGUGCUUCAAGCCACGUGCCACUCUCUGGGCCUUCUGGUAAACGACAAAAAGUUGCCAUUAAUGCUGGUGCAGAGGGUAGAGUUAAUCAUAGUGGUUCUCAACUUGACCUGCACCAGGGUGUUCCUACCAUGGGACAAGUUCCACACGCUGACGAACCUCAUCGUGGAAGUCUCCGUGAUCCCUCUGACUACAGCCAGGGUUUAUCUGUGCCUGCUGAGCCACAUGGCGGCGUGCACUUAUGUGAUCCACCAUACCCAGCUCUGGAUGUGGCUCCUGCAACAGUGGCUGGGAAUGGUCUAUUCCCAGUCCCAAGACCCUCUGGAAAAGAUCGUUACCAUUCCGGGUGAUACUUACCUCGCUGCGAUGGUGGACCGAUCACGAGACUGUCCUGGAGGGGUUCCAUUCGACAACCCCCAUCACUCCAUCAAGUUGGUGUCGGACGCCUAAGACCUCCAGACACAGGGGAUGAGGUCUCCGAAGGAGGUGAAGUAGCACAUAAAUGGCAAAGAGCUCCGAGCAGUCCGGCUGGCGUGCGGUGUCUUCCUGCCCCAACUGUUGGGCAAGGUGGUAUGGGUCCUGAUGGACAACACAGCCUCGAUGUUCUAUAUCAACAGGCAAGGGAGGGCACGCCCAUUGGCUCUCUGUCAAGAGGCCCUCCAUCUGUGGGACUUCUGCAUCAGCCACAAAAUCUAUCUGGAAGCUUGUCACCUUCCUGGCGUCAAGAAUACACUGGCGGACCAACUCAGCAGGGACGUCUUCUCUCACCACGAGUGCUCACUCCAUCCAGAGGUAGCCUGCAUGAUCUUCCAAAGGUGAGGAACUUCCUAAGUGGACUUGUUCGCCACCAGACAGAACAGGAAAUGCCACCGGUUCUGUUCUCUCCAAGGUCUGAGCAAGGUCAGGCUCCCUCUCUGAUGUCUUUGUCCUCUUGUGGUCAGGAAGCCUGAUGUAAACGUUCAGUCCAAUUCCACUCAUCAGCAGAGUCCUGGCAAAGAUCAAGAGACAAAGUGCAGGUUGUCGUGAUUGCCCUGGCGUGGCCUCACCAGUGUUGGUUCGGCAUGCUCAUGAGUUUGUCAGCAUCCCCUCCCUGGCCCCUACCCAACCAACCGGACCUGCUGUCACAGGACCACGGUUGGCUCCUACACUCCAACCCCCAGUCCCUCCACUUCUUGAUGUGGAUGUGUGUGGCUCAACCCGGAGGAGAGGACUUGUUCGGAAGGAGUCCAAUAGGUCCUUCUGGAAGUAGAAAGCCCUCAACUAGACUGACUUACCUGGCCAAGAGGAUGAGGUUUUCCCGCUGGGCAUCCAAGCGUGGCAUCUCUCCCUCGUGUUCUUCUAUACAGGCUGUUCUGGACUGCCUGCUCCAUUUGAGGAACCAGGGCCUGGCACACUCUUCCAUUAGAGGGCAUCUUGUGGCCAUCUCUGCUUUUCACUCGCCAAUCUAAGGACAGGCAGUGUUUUCCCAUGACGUGACAAUCAUGACAUGACAUGAGAGGGCUCAAGAGAUUCUUCCCGCAAGUGUGGGCUCCUGUCCCACAGUGGACCUUAACUUGGUCCUCUCUAGGCUCACUGGCUCACCCUUCGAGCUGCUGGGUUCCUGCUCCUUUUCCCACCUGUCAUGGAAGGUCGCAUUCCUUGUGGUGGUGACAUCCGCGAGACAGGUCUCUGAAAUUCAAGCCGUGACCUCAGAACUACUGUACACAGUCUUCUGCAAAGACAAAGUUCAGCUGUGGUCCCACCCAGCCUUCCUUCCGAAGGUGGUAUCCACCUUCCAUAUGAACCAGGACAUCUUCCUCCUGGUGUUCUGUCCCAAACCACACACGACCAGUAAAGAGAGGCAACUUCACACUCUGGAUGUCUGAAGGGCCUUGGCUUUUUACUUAGAACAUACCAAGCCCUUCUGUAAAUCAACUCAGCUCUUCAUCGCUACAGCAGACAGGAAGGAAGGGCCUUCCGGUGUCCUCCCAGAGGAUUUCCAGUUGGAUCACCUCAUGCAUAAGGAGCUGUUAAGACCUGGCGGAGGUUCCACUGCCACUGAUUGUCAGAGCCCACUCGAUGAGAGCUCAGGAGUCUUUGGGAGCCUUCCUGGUGCACAUCCGUAUCCAGAACAUCUGUAGAGCCACAAUGUGGUCCUCUGUUCACAUGUUUACCACUCACUAUGCCAUCGCUCAGCAGGCCAGGGAUGAUGCUGAGUUUGGCAGAGCUGUGUUGCAAUCUACACAUCCAUUAACUCCUACCCACCUUCAAGGGUACUGCUGUGGAGUCACCUAAUAUGGACUGGACAUGAGUAAGCAUUUGAAGAAGAAAAAAGUUAUCUUUUCCAUAACUGGUAUUCUUUUGAGAUGUGUUGCUCAUGUCCAUUCCACAGCCUGCCCUCCUUCCCCGCUGUCUGAGUAUCUGGCAAGAAGGAACUGAGCGUGAGGGGAGCCAGCAGUGCUCCUUAUACCGCGCCAUGCGGGCGCCACUCCAGAGGGCACCAGAGCCGGUCUCCUACGGAUACCGCUAAGGGAAACAGUUCCGGCCCUGGUGCACACAUGAGCAUGCACACCUAAUAUGGAAUGGACAUGAGCAACACAUCUUGAACACCAGUUAUGGAAAAGGUAACUAUCUGUUUCCUCCAGGUGGCGGUAUUGGCAAAGGCAUAAAUCCAUUCUGGGAAUUAAAAGGCUCUGUCCCAUGCAAGUGUGGAAUAUCUUAAAGGUAAUGUUUCUCUUGAAAAAUAAUAGCCAAGAUUGUUAAAAACAGGUGCAUAAAGUUAGGUUCCUAAAUCCAUAUUUAGGCAUGUAAAUAAGAUGCCUAAUUUUCCAUAAGCACUGAGCAGCUUCAGCUCCCACUGAAAUCAAGUACUGAAUUGGUUUGUUUAAUGAUAGAAAAUUUUAGAAUUGUUCUACAGCUAGGAAAAUUUUUGUAACAGUUCAAAGUCUCUCCUUCAUUGUCAUUUAUUUUUAAAAGCACUACUUGAGACCAGUUCAAUCAAAGUUUCUCUAACAUAUUUUACUUUGGGAAUUUUAAAUAAGUAGUUGUAUGUUCAUUCAAAACACUUCUGCCUUUAGGAGUCUGAUAUCUGUACAUAGUUUUUGCUGCCAUAGCAAAACAAUACACCUUAAUUUUUUGUAUGUAUAUUUGAAAUUACAAGUCAUACCAUUUAAAAGCUUUUCUGUUUUUCAUAACGUGAUUCUUAUGAAUCCUCUUAAUUCUGCUUUAGAAGUCUCAAGAUUUCUUCUUUUCUGUAUUUGACAAUGUGACACUGUUGUUACAUCCAGUUCCUAACAAUAUUAAGCAACAUUUUAUAUAUAAAAUAUACAUGAUAAAUACUAUAAUCUAUUUUAUUAUAUGUAAAGUAAUAGGAAUUUUAUUAGUAGUGAAAGAAAUCUGCCGGGGGGGGGAGGGGAACCUUGUGUGCUAAUAAAAUGUUUCCAUCAUGUUUUAGGAAUACUAUCAACUUGAUUGAUUUUUUUUUUUAAAUAACAGGUUUUUAAUACUGCAGUUUUUUCUGUUGUGCUCUUUAAAUAGCAUGUCAGCUCCUGUGUCAACAUCUGAAUCUCUUUGGCUGGAAAGAAACAUAACUGCACAAAAAUAUACAGCAAAAAAAAAAAGAGGUGAUUGCAGGGCAUGUAACUUUGUUUCUUAUAAUAACAUUUUUGUUACUUUAAACUAGAAUGGGUAUGAAAGUUUCUGACAGGAGUGUGAUUUUUUUUUUUUUCCCAAGCUGACAGUGUUCGUGUAACACUUUCUAUAGAUCGGUAGGUAAGAAGAUUGAUAUUAGGCACAGAGCAAAGACUGCUUUGAAAAAUGAAGUCACACAAUGAAAGAAAAGGCUUCUUUAAAAAUGAAUGAAAGAAUUCAACAGUGUGAUAGAUUAUAUAUAGGCACUUUAUUUACUUUUUUCAGAUAUCUGAGGGCAGAAUCUGCUGCAGUGGAAAUGCAGACCCUUGCACAAAGCUCUUGAUGUAAAGAAAGGAAUUUCCUCACAAAAAUCAAGACAACACACAUCCCACCAGACAUCUGCAAAAGCAGCAUCUUUUAAGACCAAAAAAUAAUCAUUUUAAAGGCAUCAGCCCUGAAAUCAUAAAGGUAAAUUCCCACUCCUUGAGGUAAGUUUACAUUCUUGGUCUCACCUUCUUUAGUAAUGACAUCCGCAGUCUCUGCAGCUUUAUCUUUCAGAUCCUUCACAACGCUGUCCAAUUGAGCCUCGUGCUUCAAGAAGAAAGGGCGAAUAAUUCGGUGGUAGAGAAACUCUGCUCCAUUGGAAGGGCUUGGAGCCAUGCACCAUAGCAGAAAGCCACACUGCUCAGAAAAAACAAUCAAUAUUGGUGUUGAGAGAGGAAGGAUGAGAUUCAGAAGAUCUGGGUUCUGUCCCUUACUCUGCCACAGACUCAGUGACUUGCUAAGGUCACUUUUGCCUUUUCUACACACAAAAGCUGUACUGGUUUAAUUAACCUAUAUAGUAAAGUGAUAUGCACAAACCCC